CUUUCAUGUGAAGUGAAAUGGCUGUAGCCUAAUGUCCUUCUGAAAUCAAGAGACACAUCUUCACUUUCCAGACUGGGACCAGACUUUUGUGCCACGUUGUGACAUGCACACAUGCACACACAGGAAAGGACUUGGCUUGUGCCCACAUGCCUUUCUUCAGGGACAAGUGGGAAUGGACAUAAGGAGCGUCUCAUCCUUACGUGGCCUCCUUUGUCUUCCUCCUUCCUGGCCAAGACGGUGAUUUACUGCCCAAAGACAAGUCCAUCUGAAGCAAGAACUGACUAUCGAGGACUCUGUAGUGACUGAUAAACUGGGAAGAGAAAAUUGGACCAGAGACUUCAAGGCAGCUCUCAGACAAGAAUAUUCCAGUGCCAGAGAGAAAGACAUUAAAAAUGAAGAGACAUGCAGAGAGUGCACCAUGCCAUCGUGGAGACAGACUGAAGUGACACAACUGUUAGUCAAAGAGGAUUAAGGACUUCCAGAAGCCACCAAAGGAAGGAGACAUUGGUUCUACUCAAGUCAAGGCAAGUCAUCUGACCUUCACCAAGAAAGUCCAGCAUCCAGGAAAGGAAAUUGUAUGUUUGGAUAUACUGAUCAGCUGUGCUGGCUCUCCACAGUCUCCAUCGUUGUGAGGAUCCAUCUGCUCUCCCUGGGAGAUGAAGCCAAUGCCUCCCAUGCUGGGCUCCCUGGGGAUCAUCUCUCAGUGUGGAGAGCCUGCUCCAGCCCCUGAAGUGGAAAGCUACUACUUAACCAAACACACAGCCUAACAGCUGGGAUUAAAUGACCUGAAAGGUAAAAUCUCUGCCUCCAGCAAACAGAAUUACCAAUUAGGCUUUGUUGUCAAGCCAUGUGUAUGCUGUAAAAACAGGUUAAGCCAUGGUGAGAAUGUGCUAUGCUUACACAGCUGUCUGGGAUUAAUUAGUGAGGGUAUGUCUGGGAUAGCUGCAUGUUUUGAUCAAGCCAAUUCUCUCUAACUCCCACAUGUGUGUGUCUACUUGUAUCCUUGAGUCAUUUCUGAAUAUGUUAAAGAAAAGGAACUACAGACGAAUACAUGUUCUUUUUACUGA
rnacentral:lncRNA from 1 species